AUUGAACACUGGCGGCAUGCUUUACACAUGCAAGUCGAACGGCAGCGCGGGCUUCGGCCUGGCGGCGAGUGGCGAACGGGGGAGUAAUGCAUCGGAACGUGCCCAGUAGUGGGGGAUAGCCCGCCGAAAGCCGGAUUAAUACCGCAUACGACCCGAGGGUGAAAGCGGGGGACCGAAAGGCCUCGCGCUAUUGGAGCGGCCGAAGUCGGAUUAGCGAGUUGGUGGGGUAAAGGCUUACCAAGGCGACGAUCCGUAGCUGGUCUGAGAGGACGACCAGCCACCCUGGCUCUGAGACACGGCCCACACUCCUACGCGAGGCCGCAGUCGGGACUUUUACACGAUGGGGGAGAGCCUGAUCCAGCCAUGCCGCGUGAGGGAUGAAGGCCUUCGGGUUGUAAACCGCUUUUGUUCGGGAAGAAGUCCUCUGCGCUAAUCCCCCGGGGGGAUGACGGUACCGGAAGAAUAAGCACCGGCUAACUACGUG
rnacentral:rRNA from 1 species